rnacentral:rRNA from 1 species
CGGAGGGGGCUAGCGUUGUUCGGAAUUACUGGGCGUAAAGCGCACGUAGGCGGCUUUGUAAGUUAGAGGUGAAAGCCCGGGGCUCAACUCCGGAAAUGCCUUUAAGACUGCAUCGCUAGAAUCGUGGAGAGGUGAGUGGAAUUCCGAGUGUAGAGGUGAAAUUCGUAGAUAUUCGGAAGAACACCAGUGGCGAAGGCGACUCACUGGACACGUAUUGACGCUGAGGUGCGAAAGCGUGGGGAGCAAACAGGAUUAGAUGCCCUGGUAGUCCACGCUGUAAACGAUGAUGACUAGCUGUCUGGGCGCUUAGCGUUCAGGUGGCGCAGCUAACGCGUUAAGUCAUCCGCCUGGGGAGUACGGCCGCAAGGUUA